CUGCAAUGAUGAUGUUUCUUAGGACACCUUUGGAUUAACUAUGAAAAUGAAACAACACUGAGCAGC
ensembl:snoRNA SNORD58 Small nucleolar RNA SNORD58